rnacentral:rRNA from 1 species
AUUGAACGCUGGCGGCAGGCCUAACACAUGCAAGUCGAAUGGUAACAGGAAACAGCUUGCUGUUUCGCUGACGAGCGGCGGACGGGUGAGUAAUGUCUGGGAAACUGCCUGAUGGAGGGGGAUAACUACUGGAAACGGUAGCUAAUACCGCAUAACGUCGCCAGACCAAAGAGGGGGACCUUCGGGCCUCUUGCCAUCAGAUGUGCCCAGCUGGGAUUAGCUAGUAGGUGGGGUAACGGCUCACCUAGGCGACGAUCUCUAGCUGGUCUGAGAGGAUGACCAGCCACACUGGAACUGAGACACGGUCCAGACUCCUACGGGAGGCAGCAGUGGGGAAUAUUGCGCAAUGGGCGCAAGCCUGAUGCAGCCAUGCCGCGUGUAUGAAGAAGGCCUUCGGGUUGUAAAGUACUUUCAGCGGGGAGGAAGGGAGUAAAGUUAAUACCUUUGCUCAUUGACGUUACCCGCAGAAGAAGCACCGGCUAACUCCGUG